GCGAGGAUGGCGGAACUGGCAGACGCGCUGGACUUAGGAUCCAGUCCCUCAAGGGGUGGGGGUUCGAAUCCCCCUCCUCGCA
rnacentral:tRNA from 1 species